rnacentral:rRNA from 1 species
UACGUAGGGUGCGAGCGUUAAUCGGAAUUACUGGGCGUAAAGCGUGCGCAGGCGGUUUUGUAAGCCAGAUGUGAAAUCCCCGGGCUUAACCUGGGAAUGGCAUUUGGGACUGCAAGGCUUGAGUGCGGCAGAGGAGACUGGAAUUCCUGGUGUAGCAGUGAAAUGCGUAGAUAUGCGGAGGAACACCAAUGGCGAAGGCAAUCCCCUGGGCCUGCACUGACGCUCAUGCACGAAAGCGUGGGGAGCAAACAGG